UCCCUCUCCCCCCUCGUCCUCACCUCCUUACCUGUGCCCCUCCCUUUAGGCAGGGAGGGGUCUAAAUUCAUUUCCCUGUUCAUAUUUCAGCCUCCCUUCUCCCCACUCAACCCUCCUCCUCACCUCCUCCUCAUCCCUCCUUCUCUCCCUUCCUUUGUGUGGAGUUUGGUGUGGAGAAAAAAAAGUUUUCUCUUGUUGAGAACUUCCACUAAACAGUACCGGGAUAGACACAACACUUAAAAAGUUAACGGCUACGACAACGGGGAAAAAAUGUUUAAAAAGAAGCCUUACGGUGGAUCAGAUUCCUUCCACCCAAAUGUUAUUUAUGUGAAAAUAAAAAUGCCACCGCACACGUUUGCUUGAGGAAUCCAUCAGACCAGACCACCUCCAUUUUGUGAGCCCACAGAACCCUCCCCAUCUGGCUCUCCCCUCCUCACCCCUCCUCCUCUCCCAUCCUCUGUGUGGAGAAAACCAUGUUUCAGAACUGUGGGAUGUUUAUGGACGCGGAAUCCAAAGAGUUGCCUUGCUCUCCCUCCUAGGUCAACAAAGGCACCCAUCUUGCACCAUGAACAACAGGAAGGCCUAACCCAGAAGAAGCCUAAGAUGAAAAAACAACACGAUCUGUUACCUUGUACAGACUGGUGGAGAUCGGAGAUUUGAUCGAGGAGUGGCCAGAGACAAACGUUUUCUAGAGAGGCCCCUUUGAGAUGGCACCAUCCUGGGAGAAACGGAACCUGGGCCGCCGUCUCCAGCCCGACUCGUUGGACCAGAACCAGGCGGUGGUUAUAGCCAAGCUAGCAGACUGGAAUCCAGCUACCACAUCAGCAGUGACAAACCCAGUAAACAAGAAUGACAGCCACAGAACGACAGGUCUGCACUCCAACGAGAGACCCCAACACACAGAGGAAACUCCAGGACUGGAAUCUUCAUGUGAAGAAAAUAUCGGUGAUCAUCGGUGACUCCAAUGUGCACAGACUCCUCCGUCCUAUAAAGCAGAGGGGUACAGAUCGACAGAUUUCCAUGAGCGAAAUGUUGCCACCCGGUGAGGCCCAGCUGGAGAAAGCACACUGUGGAAAAUCUGGUUUUAUAACUUUGGACUGAAUACCAGUGAUGGAGCUGAAAAUGGGACUAAAGGCAGAGCAGUAAGCAAUCUUUCUAAGGCCCUUCUUUGUGAAGAACAAGCCACAUCGUUGCAUCUGAACAACUUUAUUACAGGUUUAGAUGAACAGAUUCCUGCACUUCCUACUUUGAUAUUCAGCACAGAGAAGGACAACAUUCACUCGACCAGUAGAGCUGCAAUGUGUAUGUUAGAACAGUGGAACCAGUGUGUAAAUGAGGCAUCCCCCAUAAGCCUUGAAAAGUGGGAGGAGAGUAGUGGUGUGAUUCACCUUUCUUAAGUUCCAAUGCUCAGCGGGUCCUUUGGACAGAAAUAAGUUCUUCUUCUUUCAAUUAUUGUUUAUUCUGUUCAUUGUAGAAUCAGCUAGGCUCCAGUGGUCAGGAGAAGCUUCUGCUAUAUGAAGCUGUUACAGUGCUUUUUGUUACAUUGAACGAGAGUAGUUUUUCUUGUUGCUUGUUUGAUCUACUGCCGUUUAAAAGAUUAUAAUUACUGAAGUGAAUGUGUUUUGAGACAGUUUACAGUGACACUGAAGCUCCACUCAACCAAGUGUGCCUCAACAGUCUGAAAUGAAAAGAUUUUUCUUCCUUUUUUUUAUUUCUCUCCCUCUCAUGCUUCUGUUUGGAUUCCCAUUGGACAAAGCACUUCGGUUUGUGUUAGCAGGCUGAAAACAAUAAUUUUGGAUGUUUCUUUCGGCUCUUGAGGUGCCCUCAUUGAGUGCGGUUUGCUCAGUGUCCUCGAGGGUAUGUGAGGAGCCUUCCAUAGUUGGGUUGUUGUGUUUUUACCCCAGCAGCUAUUCAUCUCCAUCUCAACAGUUCAUGACCAACAUGCCGUGGCUGCCCCCUGUACCUGUUGAGUACCUUUACCCUCAUCCACUGGAGCCUGGACCUCCAGCUGAUUGCAGCCACUUUAGUGCAAGGAGGAUAUGAUUGCGUUUUGUGUGACUGUCUGGCAGUUCACCCUUCCCUUUCUACCCAAACCCAUUUUCCACUCCAGCCUCUACCCCACUCAGUUCAGACCCCUCCUCAGGCAG